AUCUCUGUGCAGCACCGCUGGGACCAGCGCAGCGUCCUGUCCCGUGCUGGUGUCCGUGCUCCCAGCGAGAUGUUAAGAAGCUGGAGAGUUCUGGCAGGAGCUACAAGAGCUCCUCAAGGUCUGAAAAGCUGGCAUGGAGUGAGAGAUUAAAGAGAUCAGCCUAUGCCUCUUGUCACAGAGGAGGUUAAAAGCUCACUUGACUGUGGUCUCCAAGUACCUCUGUGUGGAGAUCUGUGAGAAUGGAGGCAGAAAAGGUGUUUAUCUGAGACUGACUUAAGCUGGAAGUAAAGCACACAUGUUAACAAAGGAUGAAAUUAAUCUGGGGACAAUUGACCCAAGGAUGCCCAGCAGGCCUUGAAAUCGAGGUUACAAAUAACACUUGAUUUUGGACUGCUGGUGCUGAGGGCAGUGCAGCAAUCACAAGCAAUGCUCGUGGGUUAGCAUGGUCCCGGGGCCAGGCAGAGGCAGGCCCUGCGGAUGGCUGUUUGUCCAUGGGGCUGUUGUCACCUUAUCAGUGAGGGCAGGAGCCCAGGGCCUGCUGAGAGCCCUGCCCCGGGCUCCACGAGGUGAUGUGCAGAGACCCAGAAGUGAGCCCAGGACGGCUCCUGCCAGGAGUUCGCCUUGCACAGUAUUUCCUUCCUUUUUCUGAAGUGUAAGCACGGAGUGAAAGUACCUGCGUAGCAGGGGCUGGAUGCGGACUUUAUCGCCAAGGGAUUAAGGGCUGCUGGUGACUCAGAACUGAGAUGACUCAAAGCAAGGCAGCAUCCGAGGGAUAAAGCCAGCCACCACGGCCCACAUCGUCAGCCGAUUGCACAGACUCAGCACCGUCUCCUGAGUGAUUAGCGCAACUGCACGGGGAGUUCGCAGAGCAGCAGUGCUGCGAUUUGGCACUCCGUCUCCUGAAAGUCGGUGUCUGUGUCCUGUGAUAGCAGCCGCACAGCCAGCCAGGCCCGGUCAGGGCUGGAAAGGAGGGCUCUGGAGGCCGUAAAGAAGGGGUUCUUGAGCAGAGACAGAGCCCUGGCAAACCCAGCUGGAUGGAGCUGCUGCUGCCCGGAUCCUGUGUGUCUCUGCAACAGGACAAAAGCCACACAAAAUUUUCUUCCGAGUUGCCAGGUUUCCACAGAGGCAUUGCACUUUUGGUCACAGGCAACUUUGCAAAAGAACUGUAGGGACAAGCAAUUCCAAAACCUCUGAGCAUUUCUGGUGAUUUAGACCACUGUGAGAACAGCACUAAGCCUGUGGGGGGAGUUAAA